rnacentral:lncRNA from 1 species
AAAUACUACCCCUAUAGUUUUGCACUUUAUCACUUUAGUAUCUUAUGCUUUAAAAUGUAUCAUUUUAGUAAGUGUGGUUUUAUUUUUCUCUUUUUGUUAUACUCUUUACUAUUUUUUUUUUAUUAAAUUAGUGAAAACGUUAAAAGUAAAGAGUACGAAAGUGAAUAUUCUGUAAACUAUAGAUGGGGUAUUUAAAACUUUUGUAUAUAAGUUAACGAAAAGUUAAUAGAAGGGCUAAUAAAAAGAGAAAAAGGAAACCACAGGUGUUGGCUUAAAUGGGCCAGCAUCCUGCCCUGUGGUGGGAGGUCAUGUGGGCCGAGUCAUGUUCAAAAUAACGUGAGGCUGGGUUGGGCCGAGUCAUGUUCGAAGUGGCGUGAGGCCAGAUGGGCCGAGUCACAAUCGAGACCCGUGGGCGCUGUUUCUGUACACUUUAAGUGAAUUAGUUGCAUAUUUCUAACAGCUCGAGCUUUUGGGAUUAAUGGUUAGCGCCAACGAUCCGACAAGUGGUAUCAGAGCCAAAGGUCACGGAUUCGAUUCCUGCAUGUUGCAAAUAUGUGCAGGUGCUUGAGGGGAGAUUAUUGGCUUAAAUGGGCCAGCAUCCUGCCCUGUGGUGGGAGGCCAUGUGGGCCGAGUCAUGUUCGAAAUGGCGUGAGGCUAGGUUGGGCCGAGUCAUGUUCGAAGUGGCAUGAGGCCAGGUGGGCCGAGUCACAAUCGAGACCCGUGGGCGCUGUUUCUGUACGCUUUAAGUGAAUUGGUUGCAUAUUUCUAACAAUUAUUUGAAGUUUACCCUUAAAAAAUAGUGAAGGGGAAUGUGAUAAAAAUACUACGUGGACACUUCUAUUUGCAGUGUAAAUCGCCGUAAAAUUAUAUUUAGUUAGAAAUAUGAAUAUGAAGCAAUUAAACUUUGAAUUUGAAUUUCGAGUAUUAACCAUUCAGCCUUUAGCCAAUUGUGCUAUAUACGGUUUUAAAAUUUAGAUUUUAAAAAUUUAUU